rnacentral:lncRNA from 1 species
AAGGUUUGAAUAGUUAUCAUGUUUAAAAUUGCUCAGUUCUGUGUUUUAAAUCUUCUACAUGUGGAUAAAGUUCCUAAAUUUUUGAGGCCUACUGUUUUACAUAUUACAUUCAAGUUCCAAGCCAUGGUCUUUUCCUAAGUUAUCUAUUAUCUGGCUUCCUGAGGCCCAAUUUGGGUAAAAAAAUAUUUUGGAAAAAGCAUAGUUGCCUUAGUUAAGUAUUUUGUAACAAAAAAGUAUCAAGAUGUUGGUGGUUACCCUAUGCAUGCAAGGUGGCCUCUCUAAACAACAAAUCUUCCUCUCUUUACCUUGGUUGUAUAAUUUGUUAUCAACCAAUAUUGAUCCUCUUUUAUCCAUUGUUGAAAUUUUGAGUUUCUUACAACCAUUUCUAAGAUCAAUUUCUGUAAUAAUAGUGGAGCAUGAAGGAAUUUGUUUUUGAUGAAUUGAGCAUGAAGGAAUUGAUUUGCCUUAUUUGUUGUUAUAACCUUUCAGAUAGUCUACUAGCAUUUAAUUUUGCAUAUGUUUUCAUUGAGGAUUCUUUGUAUUUUAUAAGCCUUACGUACCUUUGGUUUCCUGUAGGCAUCUCCAAUACAAU